rnacentral:tRNA from 16 species
GCAUAGUUGAGCGGUAAAACACUUGACUAACAACUCGACGACCUGAGUUCGAUUCCC